rnacentral:rRNA from 1 species
GCAUAUCAAUAAGCGGAGGAAAAGAAACCAACAGGGAUUGCCUCAGUAACGGCGAGUGAAGCGGCAACAGCUCAAAUUUGAAAUCUGGCUCUUUUAGGGUCCGAGUUGUAAUUUGUAGAGGGUGCUUUGGCGUUGGUUGUGGUCUAAGUUCCUUGGAACAGGACGUCACAGAGGGUGAGAAUCCCGUACGUGGCCGCCAGCCUCCGCCGUGUAAAGCCCCUUCGAUGAGUCGAGUUGUUUGGGAAUGCAGCUCUAAAUGGGAGGUAAAUUUCUUCUAAAGCUAAAUAUUUGCCAGAGACCGAUAGCGCACAAGUAGAGUGAUCGAAAGAUGAAAAGCACUUUGGAAAGAGAGUCAAAAAGCACGUGAAAUUGUUGAAAGGGAAGCGCUUGCAGCUAGACGUGCCUUUGGUUGAUCAGCCGGACUUUUGCCCGGUGCACUCUUCCUUUGGCAGGCCAGCAUCAGUUUGGGCGGCUGGAUAAAGGUCUGUUAAACGUGACUUCCUUCGGGGAGAGCUUAUAGGGCAGACGACAUGCAGCCAGCCUGAACUGAGGUCCGCGCAUCUGCUAGGAUGCUGGCGUAAUAGCUGUAAGCGGCCCGUCUUGAAACACGGACCAAGGAGUCUAACAUCUAUGCGAGUGUUUGGGUGUCAAGCCCGAGCGCGCAAUGAAAGUAAACGGAGGUGGGAACCCUUUGGGUGCACCAUCGACCGAUCCUGAUGUCUUCGGAUGGAUUUGAGUAAGAGCAUAGCUGUUGGGACCCGAAAGAUGGUGAACUAUGCCUGAAUAGGGUGAAGCCAGAGGAAACUCUGGUGGAGGCUCGCAGCGGUUCUGACGUGCAAAUCGAUCGUCAAAUUUGGGCAUAGGGGCGAAAGACUAAUC